CGCAGCCGCGGUAAUUCCAGCUCCAAUAGCGUAUAUUAAAGUUGUUGCAGUUAAAAAGCUCGUAGUUGAAUUUCGGGAUCAAUUUAUUGGUCGUGCUAUUGUACGUACUGGUAUUAUUGAUUCCUACCUUCUGACGAACCAUGAUGUCAUUAAUUUGGUGUCUUGGGGAAUCAGGACUGUUACUUUGAAAAAAUUAGAGUGUUUAAAGCAGGCUCACGCUUGAAUACAUUAGCAUGGAAUAACGAAAUAGGACGUUUGAUUCUAUUUUGUUGGUUUCUAGGAUCGACGUAAUGAUUAAUAGGGAUAGUUGGGGGCAUUAGUAUUCAAUUGUCAGAGGUGAAAUUCUUGGAUUUAUUGAAGACUAACUACUGCGAAAGCAUUUGCCAAGGAUGUUUUCAUUAAUCAAGAACGAAAGUUAGGGGAUCGAAGACGAUCAGAUACCGUCGUAGUCUUAACCAUAAACUAUGCCGACUAGGGAUCGGAUGAUGUAAUUUUUAAUGACUCAUUCGGCGCCUUACGG
rnacentral:rRNA from 1 species